CACCGAAGGCCGGUUCCUUCUCCACAGGAAAGCAGGUGUCCGCAGGCAUGGAGUAACUGCGCACGGGGUGGAAGACUGAGGAACUGAAGCGGAUCGGAACGUGCUGGGCCAAGAGAAGGCGGAAUUCAGAGAGAAGCAGGGUUUCCAGGGGGAACUGGAGCAGCUUCUCAUUUGUCCGCUCUCGGAGCAGAGGCCCCACCGGGGAGGAACCCUUCCCUGAACGCGACUCGAGCUGCAGCCGCCACUGGGCCUGGCCACCCCCCAGCCCCAGCAUUCUGUCGGACAGGUGGGAGACUGGGACCAAGGCAGAGGGCCGGGGGAAAGGCUUGUCUCCGCGACCCCCGCCUGGGGGGAGUGGCGGGCACCUGGAAGUGACCCGGAAUUUCUGUGCUGUGGCCGUCUUCACUCUGUCUGUGGAUCUGCAGCCACCGGAGACUUCCUGACAGAAAACGUGGCUUCAUAAAUCCUCAGAGAGCAGGAUCUCUCUGAGAUCCAUGAGAAGAACUCCAGGGUUGUAGGGUGGGGCCCAGAGGGGCUCCUCCGAGGUGGAGUCGCCUCCCGGGAGACCCUGCCUGACAACCAUUGUUCACCCUGGAAGGGGCCGCUCAGCGCCCCGUCUCGCACAGGCACCUGUCUUGGGGACAGUGGGAACAGGUGUGGGAAGGCCCGCUUUCCAGUCUUGCCUCCGGCCCAGACGCCGACGGCUAACUGUCGGUCUGAAUCAAAUUGGUGAGGGGCGAUACUGAAGGGUCCCUCCCCUUACUUGAAGGGAGCCGUCCACGUUUACAGGAUGUCCAAUUACAGGGUAAGUAAGUAUAGAAAGUUCACAAUAAUUUCUAAUUUCCACUGUGACUUCUUCUUUGACCUAUGAGCUAUGUAGAAAUGCUGCUUAAUUUCCAAAGGUUUUGGGUUUUCUAGAUAUAAAGUUUUUUUACUUUCA